UAGGGAAUCUUCCGCAAUGGGCGAAAGCCUGACGGAGCAACGCCGCGUGAGUGAUGAAGGUCUUCGGAUCGUAAAACUCUGUUAUUAGGGAAGAACAAAUGUGUAAGUAACUAUGCACGUCUUGACGGUACCUAAUCAGAAAGCCACGGCUAACUACGUGCCAGCAGCCGCGGUAAUACGUAGGUGGCAAGCGUUAUCCGGAAUUAUUGGGCGUAAAGCGCGCGUAGGCGGUUUUUUAAGUCUGAUGUGAAAGCCCACGGCUCAACCGCGGAGGGUCAUUGGAAACUGGAAAGCUUGAGUGCAGAAGAGGAAAGUGGAAUUCCAUGUGUAGCGGUGAAAUGCGCAGAGAUAUGGAGGAACACCAGUGGCGAAGGCGACUUUCUGGUCUGUAACUGACGCUGAUGUGCGAAAGCGUGGGGAUCAAACAGG
rnacentral:rRNA from 1 species